rnacentral:rRNA from 1 species
UACGUAGGUGGCAAGCGUUGUCCGGAUUUACUGGGCGUAAAGAGCGCGCAGGCGGUCGUUCAAGUCGCGUGUGAAAGCCCCCGGCUCAACUGGGGAGGGUCACGCGAUACUGAUCGACUCGAAGGCAGGAGAGGGUAGUGGAAUUCCCGGUGUAGUGGUGAAAUGCGUAGAUAUCAGGAGGAACACCAAUGGCGAAGGCAGCUCGCUGGGACGUGACUGACGCUGAGACGCGAAAGCGUGGGGAGCAAACAGG